rnacentral:rRNA from 1 species
AUUGAACGCUGGCGGCAGGCCUAACACAUGCAAGUCGAGCGGAUGAAGGGAGCUUGCUCCUGGAUUCAGCGGCGGACGGGUGAGUAAUGCCUAGGAAUCUGCCUGGUAGUGGGGGAUAACGUCCGGAAACGGGCGCUAAUACCGCAUACGUCCUGAGGGAGAAAGUGGGGGAUCUUCGGACCUCACGCUAUCAGAUGAGCCUAGGUCGGAUUAGCUAGUUGGUGGGGUAAAGGACUACCAAGGCGACGAUCAGUAACUGGACUGAGAGGAUGAUCAGUCACACGGGAGCGGAGAUACGGUCCAGAAUCCGACGGGAGGCAGCAGUGGGGAAUAUUGGACAAUGGGCGAAAGCCUGUUCCAGCCAUGCGGCGUGUGUGAAGAAGGUCUUCGGAGUGUAAAGCACGUUAAGUUGGGAGGAAGGGCAGUAAGUUAAUACCUUGCUGUUCGGACGUUACCAACAGAAUAAGCACCGGCUAACUUCGU